GUAGGUGAACCUGCGGAAGGAUCAUUACGUAUUUUAGGCCGGUCUGACCGGUUCUAUUUAACCCUUUUUUUUGCGUACUCAUUGUUUCCUUGGUAGGCUUGCCUACCAGUAGGACAUUUUAAACUCUUAUAUUAGCAAUCAGCGUCAAAAUAUAAAACAAUUGUAACAACUUUCAACAACGGAUCUCUUGGUUCUG
rnacentral:misc_RNA from 1 species